rnacentral:rRNA from 1 species
AAGUCGAGCGAGUAGUGGAGAAUGACAUUGCUUCUCUUGAGAGCGGCGGACGGGUGAGUAAUGCCUAGGAAUCUGCCUGGUAGUGGGGGAUAACGUUCGGAAACGGACGCUAAUACCGCAUACGUCCUACGGGAGAAAGCAGGGGACCUUCGGGCCUUGCGCUAUCAGAUGAGCCUAGGUCGGAUUAGCUAGUUGGUGGGGUAAUGGCUCACCAAGGCGACGAUCCGUAACUGGUCUGAGAGGAUGAUCAGUCACACUGGAACUGAGACACGGUCCAGACUCCUACGGGAGGCAGCAGUGGGGAAUAUUGGACAAUGGGCGAAAGCCUGAUCCAGCCAUGCCGCGUGUGUGAAGAAGGUCUUCGGAUUGUAAAGCACUUUAAGUUGGGAGGAAGGGCCGUUACCUAAUACGUGAUGGUUUUGACGUUACCGACAGAAUAAGCACCGGCUAACUCUGUGCCAGCAGCCGCGGUAAUACAGAGGGUGCAAGCGUUAAUCGGAAUUACUGGGCGUAAAGCGCGCGUAGGUGGUUUGUUAAGUUGGAUGUGAAAUCCCCGGGCUCAACCUGGGAACUGCAUUCAAAACUGACUGACUAGAGUAUGGUAGAGGGUGGUGGAAUUUCCUGUGUAGCGGUGAAAUGCGUAGAUAUAGGAAGGAACACCAGUGGCGAAGGCGACCACCUGGACUGAUACUGACACUGAGGUGCGAAAGCGUGGGGAGCAAACAGGAUUAGAUACCCUGGUAGUCCACGCCGUAAACGAUGUCAACUAGCCGUUGGGAGCCUUGAGCUCUUAGUGGCGCAGCUAACGCAUUAAGUUGACCGCCUGGGAGUACGGCCGCAAGGUUAAAACUCAAAUGAAUUGACNGGGGCCCG